UUUUUUUUUUUUUUUUUUUUUUUGAUAACUGCCUGGGUUUAAGGAUACAUAUGAAUAUUUUCUUUUCCCAGCUGCAGCAAGAAGUGCCUGGAUGUUUCAGAUUCCUGGGGCUUUCAGAGAUGGUUCAGGUUGACAUUGCUGUCCUCUUAGGAUAUUAAGGGGUAUUAAGGGUUUUUAUUCCGAGGACCUUCCUGCCUUUUGGUGGGUUAGAAAUAUGAUCCAGAUUAGUGUCUUCCAAAUUACAAAUGUAAGAUAGCAAUAAUACUGAAUAUUACAUUAUCAUCAUUAAAGGCUAACAUUUAUGCAGGGCUUUCACUUGGCUUUCAGUCAAUAUGCUAAGUUUUUAAUAAGAUUUGAUUCAUUUAAUCAUCAAAACAGCCCCCACCAGAUAGGUGUUUAUUAAUUGUGUGACCCCGAGUAAGUUCUUAACCCCCCUGAGCGUUAGUGCCUUGGUCUGCAAAAUGGAGAUAAUAAUAGUACCUGCCUCAUGAGGCUGUGAUGGUGAUGGAAUUAAAUAAUCCACAGAAAGUGCUUAGCCCCACCCCUAAGGAUGAAAUGAGAGCUCAGUGUGUGCUCUUGUUCUCAUUUCACAGAUCAGGAAUCUGAACUCCCACUAAAUCUUGCCUGAGAUCACUUAGCUGAGAUUUAAACCUCAAAGUGAUAUCCAUUAGCCAUUCUGAUGUACUGCCUUUCUUAGUUAAUUGUCGGUGUAAUUUAGAACAUUAAUUAUUUAAGCUGUGUCUUUUGUCCCCUGACUAUAUUAUGGUUAGGUAGAGAACAGGGCUACAAAGAUCAAAGCCCAUUGAUACAGCCCUCACUGGCCAUUCUGCAACCCACAGAAGGAUGAUGGAAGGGGCUCUGAGGGGCUGUGGAUGGAUCCACGCAUAUCCAUCACCACUAUUAGAAUAAAGCCAAGCCCUACCAUUAGUAGCUCUGGUUAAGGUGACCCUGUGUCCUGAUUCUCCCAAGCCAGUCUUGAUUUAUCACAGUCUUCCUGGUAUGAUUAUUAAUGUGUCCUCUCAUUCGCUAAAGGUCUGUGUUUAGAGAAUCAAUUAUGUGCUCACUUCACCUGUAGUCAUAUCAUCUUUAACAAAUAAAGGGCAGCAUGUUCUCAUACUCUGUUGGCUCCUUGGUCCUGUUCCGAGAUGCUCAGCAACCAUGUCUUGUAUACCUGGAUUUUUUCCCCCCUACCCCUUAUUGCCGAUUGCUUUAAACAUCAAGCUUUUCUCCUUGUAAUUCUUCUCUCCAUUCUUCCCCAACGCUUCCUGGUUUCAGAUCCUUGCUUGUGGAAUGAGGUUUAGGGAUGUAGGCUCUGGAAUCCCAUGACUAGGGUCUCCAUCCUGGCCCCACACCCACUGGCUGGCAAAUCACUUCCCCUUUCUGCAAGCCCUGGUUCCUCACCUAGGACUGGAGCUCUAGGCUGGACCUCAUGGGUUUGUUGUCAUAUGGUGCUGGGGAGUUCCCAUUGUGGCUUAGCAGGUUAAGAACCCAACUAGUAUCCAUGAAGAUGUGAGUUCAAUCCCUGACCUUGCUCCAUGGGUUAAGGAUCUGGCAUUGCCGUAAGCCACAGUGUAGGUUGCUGACUCAGCUCAGAUCUGGUGUUGCUGUGGCUGUGGUGCAGGCCAGCAGCUGUGGCUCCGAUUCGACCCCUACCCUGGGAGCAUCCAUGUGCCGGCCCUAAAAAGCAAAAAGUGAAAAAUAAGAAUAAAAAAAAAAUAUGGUGCUGGAUAAAUCUUAGCUGCCUGUGGUGGGAACCACACAGAGAUGGUGGGUUGGUCCAGCAGAUGAGUCAGGAUGCCUUCCCUGAUUUUAUCCUAUUGUCCCUGCCAGGCACACAUACACCUCACGAAACAUGAUGAAAUAUCCCUGGAUUCUGAUAUAGAAACUCUUACAAGAUUAUUUCAUUUCUGUUAAGCAAGGCUGAAGGCUAAGCAUGCAGGUCAGGAGAAGCCCAGUGGUACGAAUUGUGAACUGCAGUGCUUGUCGCCUGCCCCGUACCUGUCAGGCUACCUGGAAUUUCUCUGCUACUUUUUGCAUGGUUUUGAAAUUUUCUCUGCCUCUGAGAGUGUAUUGUUAAAAUCUCAGAGCCCCUGGCUUGGCCCCUAUGUCCUCAGGAGCCCUAAUGCUCUGACCCCAACCCUGCCUGGUUUCCCAGUAUGGUGUCCCUCACUUUAGACUUGUCUGUACAACCUCUGUUAAGUCUCAUCUAUUAGGAGCUGGUCUCUGCUAGUUAUUACAUUUGGAGGUAUGAAAACCGGGAGUUCCCAUCAUGGCGCAGCAGAAACAAAUCCAACUAGGAACCAUGAGGUUGUGGGUUUGAUCCCUGGCCUCGCUCGGUGGGUUAAAGAUCCGGCAUUGCUAUGAGCUGUGACGUAGGUCACAGACAUGACUCACAUCUGGCAUGGCUGUGGCUGUGGCUGUGGCUGUGGUGUAGGAUUGGAGCCAUAUCUGAGAUCUACACCACAGCUCCAGUGAGCCACGAUGGGAACUCCAAAAGAUAGAUUUCUGAUGACAUUGUUUUGGCACCUGAUCUGGCUGUGCUUGAAGCCAGUCUACCCUGAUUACUGAACCAGUUAAAUCCUGUUUUAUGCUUAUGCCAUUUCGAGUUCAGUUUCUGUCACUUGCCACCCCAAAGGUCCUGGUAUACGCAGCAGGAAAAUGUGUUAUCUCUCACUAAAGGGUUACAUUUCAACAACAGACAUGUUUUCAGCCUGAAUAGAUGAACUUGAGCAGUGGAAUUUUAGUCAUCAGUGUCAAGCCGAAGUGGCCAGAAUAUUCUGAAAUGGGGACACUCCAAUUCCACCACACCAGUGACUUUCUUAGUGCCGACAUUGAUUCCGGCCCCACUCAAAGGACGGACCCUUUCAGCCCGAAGGUGCACCUCGUUUGGCUUCAGCCCUGUGCGACCUCUGCAUGAGGGACCAUUUCUCAC
rnacentral:lncRNA from 1 species